GCGUAAGCGCACGCAGGGCGGUCUGUUAAGUCAGAUGUGAAAUCCCCGGGCUUAACCUGGGAACUGCAUUUGAAACUGGCAGGCUUGAGUCUCGUAGAGGGGGGUAGAAUUCCAGGUGUAGCGGUGAAAUGCGUAGAGAUCUGGAGGAAUACCGGUGGCGAAGGCGGCCCCCUGGACGAAGACUGACGCUCAGGUGCGAAAGCGUGGGGAGCAAACAGGAUUAGAUACCCUGGUAGUCCACGCCGUAAACGAUGUCGACUUGGAGGUUGUGCCCUUGAGGCGUGGCUUCCGGAGCUAACGCGUUAAGUCGACCGCCUGGGGAGUACGGCCGCAAGGUUAAAACUCAAAUGAAUUGACGGGGGCCCGCACAAGCGGUGGAGCAUGUGGUUUAAUUCGAUGCAACGCGAAGAACCUUACCUGGCCUUGACAUCCAGAGAACUUAGCAGAGAUGCUUUGGUGCCUUCGGGAACUCUGAGACAGGUGCUGCAUGGCUGUCGUCAGCUCGUGUUGUGAAAUGUUGGGUUAAGUCCCGCAACGAGCGCAACCCUUAUCCUUUGUUGCCAGCGGUUCGGCCGGGAACUCAAAGGAGACUGCCGGUGAUAAACCGGAGGAAGGUGGGGAUGACGU
rnacentral:rRNA from 1 species